GGUAGCGUGGCCGAGCGGUCUAAGGCGCUGGUUUUAGGCACCAGUCAUUUCGAAUGGCGUGGGUUCGAAUCCCACCGCUGCCA
rnacentral:tRNA from 1 species